CUAACCGUAAACGAUGACAACCAGCGAUUAGUCGGUGUUAAUAUACGACCCGACUUAGCAGCCUUCCGGGAAACCAAAGUUUUUCCGUUUCCGGGGGAAGUAUGGUUGCAAAGCUGAAACUUAAAGGAAUUGACGGAAGGGCACCACCAGGAGUGGAGCCUGCGGCUUAAUUUGACUCAACACGGGAAAACUCACCCGGCCCGGACACCGUAAGGAUUGACAGACUGAGAGCUCUUUCUUAAUUCGGUGGGUGGUGGUGCAUGGCCGUUCUUAGUUGGUGGAGCGAUUUGUCUGGUUAAUUCCGAUAACGAACGAGACUCUGGCCUAUUAAAUAGUCGGUAUAUCCGGAAAAGUUUACCGUACUUCUUAGAGGGACAAACGGCGUCUAGCCGCGUGAAAUAGAGCAAUAACAGGUCUGUGAUGCCCUUAGAUGUCCGGGGCUGCACGCGCGCUACACUGAAAGAAUCAGUAUGCGCUUUAACCUAGUCCGGAAGGAUUGGGUAACCCGAGCAAAUUCUUUCGUGCUUGGGAUAGGGAAUUGCAAUUAUUUCCCUUAAACGAGGAAUUCCCAGUAAAUGCGGGUCAUAAGCUCGCGUUG
rnacentral:rRNA from 1 species